AAAAACUAGUUAAAUAUAAAUAACAAGAGAAUGUCAUUCUCUAAUUACCAUCGGUGUUUUUU
rnacentral:tRNA from 1 species